GACGAACGCUGGCGGCGUGCUUAACACAUGCAAGUCGAACGGAAAGGCCCCUUUGGGGGUACUCGAGUGGCGAACGGGUGAGUAACACGUGAGUAACCUGCCCUUGACUUCGGGAUAACUGCAGGAAACUGGGGCUAAUACCGGAUAGGAAUCCUUGCUGCAUGGUGGGGGUUGGAAAGCUUCGGCGGUUUUGGAUGGACUCGCGGCUUAUCAGCUUGUUGGUGGGGUAGUGGCUUACCAAGGCUUUGACGGGUAGCCGGCCUGAGAGGGCGACCGGCCACAUUGGGACUGAGAUACGGCCCAGACUCCUACGGGAGGCAGCAGUGGGGAAUAUUGCACAAUGGGCGGAAGCCUGAUGCAGCAACGCCGCGUGCGGGAUGACGGCCUUCGGGUUGUAAACCGCUUUCAGCAGGGGCGAAGCUUGUGGUGACGGUACCUGCAGAAGAAGCACCGGCUAACUACGUG
rnacentral:rRNA from 1 species